GAAGUUAUUCUCUAUUUCAAUAGAGAGAGGUCAAAUUUCAGAAAUGAAAGUUAAGAGCAGAGGUCAAAUAUGAAAUGUCAUAGCUUAAAAAUCAUAAGUCGAAAAAAAGAAGACAGCUUAAAGACGAAAGUUCGCAGGUCAGAUAUCAUAUAUAAAUGUCAGAUGUCAGAGGUAGAAGAUUGGGGAUCCAAGGUGAAAGAUUACAAAUUGAAAUUCAAAGGUGAUAGGAAACCCUUAUAAUGAAGAGAUAUUCGAAAAAUGAUGUAAGAUUACACCCCACCCCUUUUUCAAAUCAUUAUUGAGGGCGGAAAGGUAUCCUGUAACUUGUCACAGACGUUAUUUUCUUUGCCACAGGAUAUCCUUGUUAAACAAGAUGUGCCGAAGAUGUUGCGAAGUGAAAAGAGGUGUAUAAUGUAUAUUCAGUUGGUGAAGAGAUUACUGAACUCAAAGGAAGCGAUAAAGGCAACGACAACAAGGACGAAAUAGAGUUUUAAAUGUUGUGAUAUUGAUAUACCGCCAAACUGUGUCAGCGGAAUGUUAAUCUAGGGAAGAGUCGAAUAAGAGUGAGAUGUAGCAGACGAGAUUAUGCAGGAGGAAGAAGAUACCGAGAGACAUUACAAGAAAUGCGAAGGAACCUUGGCCUUUCGGAAAAGAUUGCACAACCAAGCGGAAAAAAGUCUCUUCGAAUAUCAGUUUGACCUAGAACCACCAAGAAAGAAGAGGCGAGUGCAUAUGUAUCUGCUCCUCGUUCUUCCGAAAGAAACUUUCCUAUCGUUCUUCCUUUUCC